rnacentral:rRNA from 1 species
GAUGAACGCUAGCGGCAGGCUUAAUACAUGCAAGUCGAGGGGCAGCAGCUCUGUAGCAAUACAGAGGCUGGCGACCGGCAAACGGGUGCGGAACACGUACACAACCUUCCUUUAAGCGGGGAAUAGCCCGGGGAAACCCGGAUUAAUACCCCAUAGUAUAUUGAAGAGGCAUCUCUUUACUAUUAAAGAUUUAUCACUUGAAGAUGGGUGUGCGGCGGAUUAGCUAGUUGGCGGGGUAACGGCCCACCAAGGCAACGAUCAGUAACUGGUGUGAGAGCACGACCAGUCACACGGGCACUGAGACACGGGCCCGGCUCCUACGGGAGGCAGCAGUAAGGAAUAUUGGUCAAUGGACGAAAGUCUGAACCAGCCAUGCCGCGUGGAGGAUGAAGGUCCUCUGGAUUGUAAACUUCUUUUAUAUGGGACGAGAAAAGGCUUUUCUAAGUCGUCUGACGGUACCAUAUGAAUAAGCACCGGCUAACUCCGUGCCAGCCGCCGCCGUAACAC